UACAUGUGGGGCAAGCGUUGUUCGGAAUUACUGGGGCAUAAAGGGUGCGUAGGCGGCUUGAUAAGUCAGUGGUGAAAUCGUCCGGCCCAACCGGACACGUGCCAAUGAUACUGUCGAGCUAGAGUGCGUGAGGGGUGGGGGGGAACGAGCAGUGUAGCGGUGAAAUGCGUAGAUAUUGCUCGGAAGGCCAAAGCCGAAGGGACCCCACUGGUACGCAACUGACGCUGAGGCACGAAAGCGUGGGGAGCAAACAGG
rnacentral:rRNA from 1 species